ACAGCCAAAUCACGUUGAAACACCGAUUUCUGUAAGAUCAUCGAAGUUAAGCAACGUCGAGCUUGGUCAGUAACUAGAUGGGUGACUACUUGGGAAUACCACGUGC